rnacentral:lncRNA from 1 species
UUUAAAAUCAUUUUACACAGAUUAUAUUUACGUUUGGAACCAUUAUCUUUCAUUUGCACCGAUUAAAAUUCGUUUUCAUUGGCUUUUGGUGCAGUUCUUGGGCAUAUUGUAGGACAACUGCGAUGCCGAUUUUCAGACCAUUAUUGUGUGCGUUUUUCUCCUCACCCUCACAGCGACACCUGUUUUCUCCCUCACCUUCAUGAUUAGUUUCAUUUUUGGGUUUUUAUGUAUAUUAGUUGUUGCAUUUUCAUUGGUUGUUGCACUUUUAAUUGGUUGUUACUACUUCUCAAAUUCUGAAAAUUUUUGUGGUGUAUUCUUGUGUUCGAUAUUGAUUUUUCAUAGUUUCGGUGGAAGAAAAUAUUGGCGAUUUGUCUUCU